rnacentral:rRNA from 1 species
CCUACGGGAGGCAGCAGUGGGGAAUAUUGCACAAUGGGCGAAAGCCUGAUGCAGCGAUGCCGCGUGCGGGAAGAAGGCCUUAGGGUUGUAAACCGCUUUCAGUAGGGAAGAAAAUGACGGUACCUACAGAAGAAGGUGCGGCCAACUACGUGCCAGCAGCCGCGGUGACACGUAGGCACCAAGCGUUGUCCGGAUUUAUUGGGCGUAAAGAGCUCGUAGGCGGUUUGGUAAGUCGGGUGUGAAAACUCUGGGCUCAACCCAGAGAGGCCACUCGAUACUGCUAUGACUUGAGUACGGUAGGGGAGUGGGGUAAUUUCUAGUGUAGCGGUGAAAUGCGCAGAUAUUAGAAGGAACACCAGUGGCGAAGGCGCCACUCUGGGCCGUAACUGACGCUGAGGAGCGAAAGCAUGGGUAGCAAACAGGAUUAGAUACCCUGGUAGUCCAUGCCGUAAACGUUGGGCACUAGGUGUGGGUCUCAACCAACGAGAUCCGCGCCGUCGCUAACGCAUUAAGUGCCCCGCCUGGGGAAGUCGGUCGCAAGACUAAAACUCAAANANAUGACGCGNGACGACGCGACGACGACGACGAGGAGGAGG